AGAGUUUGAUCAUGGCUCAGAUUGAACGCUGGCGGAAUGCUUUACACAUGCAAGUCGAACGGCAGCACGGGGGCAACCCUGGUGGCGAGUGGCGAACGGGUGAGUAAUACAUCGGAACGUGCCCAGUCGUGGGGGAUAACUACGCGAAAGCGUAGCUAAUACCGCAUACGAUCUAUGGAUGAAAGCGGGGGAUCGCAAGACCUCGCGCGAUUGGAGCGGCCGAUGGCAGAUUAGGUAGUUGGUGGGGUAAAGGCUCACCAAGCCGACGAUCUGUAGCUGGUCUGAGAGGACGACCAGCCACACUGGGACUGAGACACGGCCCAGACUCCUACGGGAGGCAGCAGUGGGGAAUUUUGGACAAUGGGCGCAAGCCUGAUCCAGCCAUUCCGCGUGCAGGAUGAAGGCCCUCGGGUUGUAAACUGCUUUUGUACGGAACGAAACGGCUCGGGUUAAUACCCUGAGCUAAUGACGGUACCGUAAGAAUAAGCACCGGCUAACUACGUGCCAGCAGCCGCGGUAAUACGUAGGGUGCAAGCGUUAAUCGGAAUUACUGGGCGUAAAGCGUGCGCAAGCGGUAAUGUAAGACAGAUGUGAAAUCCCCGGGCUCAACCUGGGAACUGCAUUUGUGACUGCAUUGCUGGAGUGCGGCAGAGGGGGAUGGAAUUCCGCGUAGCAGUGAAAUGCGUAGAUAUGCGGAGGAACACCGAUGGCGAAGGCAAUCCCCUGGGCCUGCACUGACGCUCAUGCACGAAAGCGUGGGGAGCAAACAGGAUUAGAUACCCUAGUAGUCC
rnacentral:rRNA from 1 species